UACGAAGGGUGCAAGCGUUACUCGGAAUUACUGGGCGUAAAGCGUGCGUAGACGGUCAAGUAAGUCGGGUGUGAAAGCCCCGGGCUCAACCUGGGAAUUGCAUUCGAGACUGCGUGGCUAGGGUGCGGAAGAGGGAAGCGGAAUUUCCGGUGUAGCGGUGAAAUGCGUAGAUAUCGGAAGGAACACCAGUGGCGAAAGCGGCUCCUGGUCCAGCACCGACGUCAGGCACGAAAGCGUGGGGAGCAAACAGG
rnacentral:rRNA from 1 species